rnacentral:lncRNA from 1 species
GAUGGGGGAAACUGGUUGGAACCUUAACAACAAUGGCAGGAGCUAUUGUCAUAACUCUUUUCAAAGGUCCUGUACUUCUCCUCAAUUCAUCAUCACUGCCACAAAUAGAUAUGAUAAGCAAAUGGACUUUAGGAUGCAUCUUCAUGUUUGGGGCUUGUCUAGCAAGAUCAAGUUGGUUGGUACUUCAAGAUCCACUUUUAAAGAAGUACCCAGCAAAGCUCACACUCACUGCCUACACUUGCUUAUUCGGAUCAAUCCAAUUGGCGGCCAUCUCGGCAAUCACUGAGAGAGACGUCGAGAUGUGGAAGAUUGAAUCAAGAGGAGUGUUGUUAGCUUUGCUCUAUAAUGUGAGCUUCCAAUAUAUAUAACGGUGACGAUCGUUAUAAUAAUAGAGAUCGAUCAUGUUCAUGAUUUUAUACAAUAUGUAGGGAGUUAUUGUAUCAGGGAUGUGUUUUCCUCUUCAAGCAUGGUGCAUUAAUGGCGGAGGACCAUUCUUUGUCGGGAUUUUCGAUCCGGUCAAAACCAUGGCAACUGCUGUUUUGGGUUUCUUUUUACUUGGGGACAAACUAUAUUCUGGAGGGUAAGCUGAUUAAAAAUUAUAUAUAACAGGAAACAAGGAAAUGAUUUUAGUUAAUUGAGUUAAAUUUUCACAGGAUUAUUGGCGGUUUGAUCAUUGUGAUUGGACUUUACCUGGUGCUAUGGGGUAGAAGUGGGGAGAAUAAUCAAACUGAAAUAUCUAAUGAUCAGACCAGCCAAGAACAUGAUAUUAACCAGAGACUUCUGAAUGAAGAUGAGGAGAUCUGUUAAAAUGAUAUAUAUCUAGUUUUAUUAUAUUUUAUGAAAGAUGUAUUUUCAGGAAAAUGAAUGUGAGUUUUAUUCAUUCAUACAUUGCUAUUUAAACUAUACAAAUGUAACGUUGGAGUUACUAUAUACAAAAAAGGACGGUCAAUAAAAUCUUGACCUAAAUUACAAUAGGGUUAAGAUUUUAUUGACAUGUAACGUGUAAUAGCUGCUAUGUAAUUGACAGCAAAUCGUUUAAGAUAAUACACCCCCUCAAUCUUGGGAUCAUUUACUCACAAGAUUGGAUCUUUUCUCAGCAAACGAUUUAGGAUCCAAAGCCUUUGUUAGCACAUCUGCUUGUUGUAGCCUCCCAGGAACAUGAGUAACAUUAACAGACCCUGCUUCAACUCGUUCUCUGACAUAUUUAAGAUCUAUUGCAACAUGCUUUAAUCUUGUAUGAUAAGCUGAAUUAGACGCAAGAAACGUAGCCCCCAAAUUGUCAGAUUUGAGUUGCAUUGGACCUUUAGUGUCAACCCCUAACUCCUUCAACAGGUUCUUCAUCCACUCCAAUUCCGUGAUAGUGGUAGAAAUAGUCCUAUAUUCAGAUUAUGUGCUUGAACGAGCGACGAUAUCCUAUUUCCGAGAGCUCCACGCAACCAACGACUGACCAAGAUAGAUCAAGUACCCUCUCUGACUCUUGCAAUCAAUAGUAUCACCACCCCAAUCGGCAUCACAAAAACUAGAAAGAAAAAAAUGUGAUACCUUUGUAAGUAGAAUUCCAAGCUGUUGUGUCCCAGAGAGAUACUGCAACACCUUCUUCAUUGCAACCCAAUGAAGUGGUUUUGGAGUCGACAUAAAUUGUGAUAACUUAUUGAACGCAAAUUAAAUGUCCGGACGAGUUAGUGUCAAAUAUUGUAAUGAUCCGAUAAUUCGUAGAUAUUCUUUUUCCUCUUUGAUGAGUUCUUCUACUGAGUGAAGAUCUUGAUUCUUGACUAUAGGCGUGAUAGAAGGCUUCAAGUUUACUAGAUCACAACUCUUGAGCAAGUUGCUGAGAUAUUGAGCCUGAUUCAAAUGCAACCCAAGACCAACCGAUGUUACCUGAAGUCCAAGAAAGAAAGAUAGAUUCGCCAAGCAGCGUAAAUCAAAAUUCAUUACUUAGCUUCACGACGAUUGUUUCAACAAUAUCGUCAUUUGAUCCAGAAAUUAAUGACGAUGUCAUCAACAUAGACAAAUAAAUAAACCGUGUGUUGCAACCGGAUAUGAUCCUUUUAGAAUAAAUAUGUUCAGGUCGGGCUCGUAUUUGACCCGACCCAAGCUCACCUCUACUAGAAAUUAACCAUUCAAAACAAUCUUACUAUAGUUUCUUAAAUAUUUUAAAGAUAACAUUUUUUAAUUCCAAUGAGACAAAUAUUUAUUAAAUCACCACCAUCAAUCUACCUAAUAAUUUGAUAAACAAAUAGAGAUCGCAUCGUCAUGUUUGAUUGGUCUGCCAUGACCCACUGUCGAAGAAGUAUCUAGCAAACCUCAUACUCACUGACGAUGUAGUUGGAAUUUAAUUGACGGGGAGCAAUUGAUUUACAAAACUUUGGGCUGGAGAUCUUAAAUUUUGGAUUGAAGUAGGCCCAACUGUUUGUAUAAAAAGAGAAUAUUUGUAUUGUGACUUUGGCUUCUUGUUCGUAACUAGGGGUUUCUCUAUUCUUGCGCGAAAAGUUGAAAAAAAAGUGGGAAGCUUGGAAAACGAUCAUCGGAUUCAGAAAGGUGACUCCGCUGAUAGUAGUUAGCUUCUCAUUCUACUUCUAUUUCCUUCUUUAAUCUUUUGCGCUUGCAUGCAGAUCUUCUAUUCUGAGUUUGUCACGAAGAGUUCUGAAGAGUGUGUUGGUGACCUCUUUCGUAAAUAUGUCUGCAACAUUUUCUUUCGUAUUUACCUUGUUUAUUUUUAUCUCCUUUAGUAACACCUUAUCUCUUAUUGUGUGUAUGUCAAUCUCUAUAUGUUUUGUUCUUUGAUGAAGAACUGGGUUGUUUGCGAUUGCAGCAGCUGAGGAGCUAUCUGUAAAGAGUGUCGUUGUUGCAGGUACAUUUAUUUUUAGUUCUUCUAGUAGAUGUCGUAGCCAUGUUAUUUCACAAGUCGUGUAUGCUAGAGCUCGGUAUUCUGCUUCUGUUGAUGAUCUUGCAAUCCUGUGUUACUUUUUGGUUUGCCAUGAAAUCAGGUUUUCAUUAAGGAAUAUGGCGAACCCUGUCGUCGAUCUUCGUGUGGUUGGACAAGCAGCCCAAUCUGAGUAUGAAAAAGCCUUGAUCCAGGAGGUGUGCGAUACUGAUGAAAAGAAGAGUCCACGACCCGGUGAGCUUUUUAUGUAUCUCAGUACUUUGUUGACUUUUCUUGUAUCUUCAUUUGUAGGCCUUGCCAUAUGUUGACUUAGACAGUUAACUGCAUGCAUGAUAUCUGGUCUUGUGACUGUUAAAUAUACGAGUUUUCCAACUAUUUUCCUGUAUUCAGUAGGAUCUUCAAGAAUUUCUUCCUUUUGAUUCUGUUUGGAAAUAUGACUAGAACUAGUAUAUAAUGGAUACUCUCCUGGUUUUACAUGUACAUAAUUAGUCUGUUCUAGAUUUCAGUUGCAUAUUUUCUUUGACUCAUAUAUAAUCAUUGUUUUGUUAUUGUGAAUUCUAAUCUUAGAAAAUAUUUUAAUUUUCCUAAGUUUUUUAUGGUAAAAAAAAUUGCUAGAUAAUUCUUUCUUUAGUUGUAUUAUUUCUUUUAGAUUAUUUUCUGUGAUUAGCAAGUCAUCUAUGUAUGCUAGUAUAAGUAUCUUGUUUGUUUCAUUUAUUUUCAUGAAUAGUACAUAGUCUGACUUAGUCUGUUUAAAUCUUAGUUUUUUUUAUGUGUAAAUAUAUCUAUGAUAUAUCUAUUAAAUUAAAAUAGCAAGUGGUAUUACAAGUGGCAUUACAAGUGGGAUUUAAACAAACCAAGUCAGACUAUGUACUAUUCAUAAAAAUAAAUGAAACAAGCAAGAUAUUUAUACUAGCAUACGUAGAUGACUUGCUAAUCACAGGAAGAGGACAUCGAGGAUAACUUGCCGGAAGAUCGAUGAAGCUUCUUUUAGGAGUUUUGGUUCUUCAAAUUUGUGCUGCAGGAAUGUCUGUGGUGUUUGCUCUUUCUCUCUGAAGACAGAUGUAAGCAAACUUGUGUUCUCAACUUACAAGAACUCCAUUGGUUUCUUAUUCUUGGCACCCUUUACAUAUUUUCUCGAAAAGUAAGCUAAGUUUCACUAUAUGCGGAUUUUCUUUAAUUCAUCAUUGAUUAAUUUCAAAUGAUCGAUCGAUCAAUAACCACUACUAAUCACUAACAGGAAGAAAGACCACCUCUAACACUCAUUGCUGCUCCAAUUCUUUCUUAUCGCGCUGAUUGGGUAAGUUUCAAUUCCAAUCACCAUUCAUUUAGUAUUUAUAUUUUUUUGUUUUGGAUACGAUCAUACCAACACAAAAGCACUGAAUCUCAUGAUCAGAACCCCGCAGUAUUAUUUUAUACGCAUUCUUGAUGCAUGGUUUAUGGUUGAUUGAUUGUAGGAUUACAUUGAACCAAUGGUUAUUUCUUCUGGGACUGUCUUAUAUAUCAUCAACCUUCUCUUCUGCCAUCCUCAACACCGCUCCGGCGAUGAUUUUCAUCAUGUCAGUGGGAUUGAGGAUCGAGAAGGUGAGUCUGACUGAUAGAUAUGGAUGGGGGAAACUGGUUGGAACCUUAAUAACAAUAGCAGGAGGUAUUGUCAUAACUCUUUUCAAAGGUCCUGUACUUCUCCUCAAUUCAUCAUCACUGCCACAAAUAAAUAUGAUAAGCAAAUGGACUUUAGGAUGCAUCUUCAUGUUUGGGGCUUGUCUAGCAAGAUCAAGUUGGUUGGUACUUCAAGAUCCACUUUUAAAGAAGUACCCAGCAAAGAUCACACUCACUGCCUACACUUGCUUAUUCGGAUCACUCCAAUUGACGGCCAUCUCGGCAAUCACUGAAAGAGAUGUUGAGAUGUGGAAGAUUGAAUCAAGAGGAGUGUUGUUAGCUUUGCUCUAUAAUGUGAGCUUCCAAUAUAUAUGACGGUGACGAUCGUUAUAAUAAUAGAGAUCGAUCAUAUAUGUUCAUGAUUUUAUACAUCAUACAGGGAGUUAUUGUAUCAGGGGUGAGUUUUCCUCUUCAAGCAUGGUGCAUUAAUAGCGGAGGACCACUCUUUGUCAGGAUUUUCGAUCCGGUCAAAACCAUAGCCACUGCUGUUUUGGGUUUCUUCUUACUUGGGGACCAACUAUAUUAUGGAGGGUAAGCUGAUUAAAAAUUAUAUAUAACAGGAAACGAGGAAGUGAUUUUAGUUAAUUGAGUUGAAUUUUCACAGGAUUAUUGACGGUUUGAUCAUUGUGAUUGGACUUUACCUGGUGCUAUGGGGUAGAGGAGUGGGGAGAAUAAUCAAACUGAAAUAUCUAAUGAUCAGACCAACCAAGAACAUGAUAUUAACCAGAGACUUCUGAAUGAAGAUGAGGAGAUCUGUUAAAAUAAUAUAUAUCUAUUUUCUUGAGUAUCUUAAAGAUAAUAUUUUUUGAUAAGUUAUUUGGUAUACAUAAGUAAAUAAAAAAUAAAGUAUAUAAACUGAAUUUUGUACAUAAAUACUGAUUUGUACAACUGGGGGGUAUGUCCUCUCUCAGCAUCGGUACACGUGUGACUUACUGGGUCGAACGAAAAUGGACAAGGCCAAGUCUACACCCACACCCAUGUCAACGUCUAUGAAGUUAAAUUCAACUGACGGAGUAUCACUCGAAGAUAAGUUGUUUGUAUCGAUCUACGAUCGGAGCUUUACUAUAUCUUGUAAACACUCGAUCAGAUAUAUCGUUUGUGGUAAACAAAUUGUGUCAGUAUCUCCGAAACCCUACCACACUACAUUGGGCAGAAACGAAACAGGUGUUGAAAUAUUUACAAGGUACUAGCAAUCAUGGAAUUUUGUUCACUUCAUCAUGGUUAUACAAAAUCGAUACAUAUUAGGCAAGAUGUCAAGACAAUCGAUGAAGUACGAGAGGUUUUGAAAUAUUUAUCGGGAAAACUUUAGAGUCAUGAUCAGCCAAAAAACAACCUACAGUUGCACGAUCGUCUACAGAAGCCGAGUUUCGUAUUCUGGCUGAUGUUGCCUCGGAAAUUGUAUGGAUACGAAAUUUAUUAAAAGAACUUUGAGUAAUACAGGUUACCUGCUCACAACUAUAGACAUAUAAUCUAGGCGCAAAAUAUCUGACACAUAAUCCAGUGUUUCACUCCAGGAUGAAAUAUAUGACACUCAAUUUCAAUUUUGUAUGAGAAUUAGUUCAAGAUGGAACAAUACAGGUAACACAUAUAUUAACGAGAGAUCAAAUCGCGGAUGGUUUUACAAAACCAUUGCCCUCAUCACGAUUUCUCGAGAUAAAAUCUAAGCUCGGCGUUGUUGAUCAAUCCACGCUAUCUUGAGGGGAGGUAUUGGAAUACAAAUAUUAUAAUUAUCAAACUGUAUAAUACUUAUUGGUGAUACAAUAUCCCGAACUUGGUCACAACGCACCAGCAACUAGAGGUUUGGAUAACCCAAGAUGAGCUGAAACACCUAUUCCAGGUUUGGGGAGGUCCCAAGUCAACACCUGGGAAGAUCGACUUCCUCAGAGGUCGACUUUCCUAGAACUCGACUUUCUCAGGAAGUCAGACUCUAGAAAAGUCGGACCUUAAGAAAGUCGAUCCCGGAAAAGUCGAUUUGGGACCAGAUCUGGUCAGUUAGGUGGUUACGGCCCAAAUGAUCAGAUUGCCUCCAUAAAAAGUUCUAUAAAUAGGAGGCACCUCUCACUCAUUUGGGCAAAUCAUUGAGAAUAGAGAAGUCCCAACGAAGCUGAGCUUUGAGCAACUGAGUCCCGACCUGAUUUCCCCGUAAAGUUCCCCAUCUGGCGCUUGUUCGAAGCGACGCCGAACACUGGUCAGGUUCCACCCUCAUCACUUAUAUUCUAUUAUUCCAAUAUUAUGGUAACAAUCUUCACUACAAUAUAAGUGUAUAUAAAUAUAGGGUAAGUUUCUUGUGUGCGAAUUUUAAUGCGCCAAAAAAUUCUGACUAUUAGGCCGACAUUUCGUCGUACAUUUGUUAGUGUCUUUUGUUGUACAUUUUUUUUAUCGUAAAUGUGUUAGUGUUUUAUGCAGUACAUUAUUGUAGCUAUUUGAUUAAAAAUUAAAGGACAUGAUGCGAACGGCGUAUUUUGGUACACCGACGUACGGCGUACCUGAAAAUUACCGUAUAAAUAUACACCUAAUAAAGAGACAUCACCAAGCUUUUGAUUUCCCAAAACUUAUUUUCUAUUUUUUCCUUUCAUCCAUCGUCUACAUGACUCACAAGCUCAUCUCCAUUCCUCCUUUCAACGAUGAUGAAUCUUAUCAAUCCAACAUCGUAUACACGAGAUAAUUAAAGAUAUAUUUUUCUAAUAAUAUAUGUAGUCGUUUUGUUGAUUUGAAUCUGAUGGUGUGUAGGCUCGCGCUAGGGUGCUUACACACACAACUCUCUAAUAUUGUGUUUACUAUAAUAAUCGAUCCCCUUCCCUGUUGAACCAGGGGAGGUAUUUAUAGUCUAAACCCUUGGGCUUACUGGGCCUUGAUGGACCUGUUUGGUCAGGAGGCCCGUCCAGAAUCCUUCCGACGGUUGCUCCUUCGGAUGACGUUAUUGACUGAAAUCUCUUAUGGUUGUUCUUCGAUGGUUUGAUCUUUGGUCAGUUUUUCUUUAAAUGCUGAUUGGAUUUGGAGUGUAGGAAUAUUGAUCGCUUCAUAAGAUUUAGGUUUGGUUCGUUUAAUAACCGAAUCGAACCUGGAUCGAAUCGAACAGUUCUGGAAUAUCAAUUUUUUUUGCAUCCCUACUAGUAUAUAUAUGUUAAAUUAUUAAUAUUAUAAAAUAGACUUUAAUCUUUAAUGAGGGGACCAGUAAAAAGUAGGGGUGAGGAAAAGACGAGUCACCCGGUUUCCUUCGAGUUAUAAUAUCAAGGUAACACAAAACCACCUGUUUUUAAAUAAAAUGUUAUGUAAUUAUAACAUUAUAUAAUAUAAUAACGAAAAUUCGUUGUAUCCCGUAAAGUGUUAGGUAGAUAUUUUCGAUCAUAAAACCAGAUAUGAAAGAUUCGAAUUCGAGUUUUUUUCACAUGAUUUUUUUGAGUCGGAUUCGGGUAAGACCUCAACCAAACUCGACUCAUCCGAAAUCCGAAGAAAUUUAUAAAAAAUCUUAAAAUAUAAAUAAUUAAUAUAAAUAAAAUUUUAUUUUAUAUAAAAUAUUUUAUAAAAAUUUAAUAUAGACAUUUAAUAUUAUUAUCAUUUUUCUUUCCUUUUUCAUUUUCAUCUUCCAUCUCCUCGCUGUUGUCGUUGUCGGAUUCAUUUUCACAUUUGAGUCUUUCAUUAAAAAAUUAUUUAAAAAUUAUUUGAUAUUUUAUUUUAUUUAAGGUUUUCAAAAUUAUUUGAUUAAAUUAUUUAAAUAACAUGAUUUUUUAUGCAUUUCUUUUCAAAAAAUUAUUAGACUCGAAUCCGAUUGAACCCGUCAUCCAAAUCGGGUUCAGGUUCUAUAAUUUUAGACGUUUUCGAGUUUUGAUACAAACUCGAUUUCAAAACUCAGGUUCCGGUGAGAAUAAACCUGAACCAAACCCGAAACAUGCCCAUUCCUAGUGCCAGGCAUCGGGAAAUGCCUAGUCUAUGGAUUCUCAAAAGAUAUUUAUAGUGAAUCUCACUUGAAACUGACCCUAUUUAUUAAGUGUUAAAGGUCUUAAUCAUUAUGUUUAACUACUAUUAAUCUUAGAGAAUAAUAUUGCAAUCUCACAGAGUCAAAAUUCAAUCAACAAAUAUCAAGUUUGUCACUGCUAAUUAACUAUAGAUAAAGGAAAACAUAUAGAUUGUUAUCCCUGCUGACAUUAAGUCAGUCACCAUCACUCUACCUACCUACCAUAUGAGAUAAGAAAAUUGAUCUGGAGUCUGGAGAUGCAUCUUCAUGUUUAGAUCAAGUUGAUUGGUCUUUUAUGAUCUACUGUUGAACAAGUACCAAGAAAAGCUCACAUUCAAUGUCUGCAUUUGCUUACUUGGAUCUGUCAAAUUGGCCGACAAAUCUGGAAUCACUAGAAGAGAUGUGGGAGAUUAAAUCAAAAGGAGAUUCGUUGGUGGAAGUUUUCAUGAUUUCAUACAAUAUAUUUUAUUACCAUGAUCAUAUAGAGAGUUGUUGUAUCUGAGAUAUAUUUUUAUCUUCAAGCCAGUUGCAUAUAUUUUAACAUGAUAUAUUUUCAGACUCACUGACUUGCUUAUAUGGAUCUAUUCAAAUGGAGAGUGUCCUCUACCAUGUAGUUGGGAAUUUAAUAUAGGCGGAGAGCAAUUAAUUUGCAAAACUUACAGUUAAAAGAGAGGAGAUCUGAAGAGGCCGGAGAUCGAGGAUAACUAGCGGGAAGAACGAUGAAGCUUCUUUUGGGAGUUUUGGUUCUCCAAAUUUGUGCUGCAGGAAUGUCUGUGGUAUCUGCUCUCUCACUGAAGACGGAUGUAAGCAAACUUGUGUUCUCAACUUACAGAAACUUCAUUGGUUUCUUAUUCUUGGCACCUUUUGCAUAUUUUCUCGAAAAGUAGGUUAAGUUUCACUAUAUGCAUUUUUUUUUAAUUCAUCAAUGAUUAAUGUCUAAAUGAUCGAUAGAUCAAUAACCACUACUAAUCACUAACAGGAAAGAAAGACCACCUCUAACACUCUCAUUGCUGCUCCAAUUCUUUCUUAUCGCGCUGAUUGGGUAAGUUUCAAUUCCAAUCACCAUUAAUUCAUUCAUUAUUUAUAUUUUUUUUGUUUUGGAUACGAUCAUACCAUCGCUAAAGCACUGAAUUUCGUCAGAACCAUUAAUUUAAACGCAUUGUUGAUGCAUGGUUGAUGGUUGAUUGAUUGUAGGAUUACAUUGAACCAAUGGUUAUUUCUUCUGGGGUUGUCUUACUUAUCAUCAACCUUCUCUUCUGCCAUCCUCAACACCGUUCCGGCGAUGAUUUUCAUCAUGUCAGUGGGAUUGAGGAUCGAGAAGGUGAGUCUGACUGAAAGAUAUGGAUGGGGGAAACUGGUUGGAACCUUAACAACAAUAGUAGGAGCUAUUGUCAUAACUCUUUUCAAAGGUCCUGUACUUCUCCUCAAUUCAUCAUCACUACAACAAACAGAUGUAAUAAGCAAAUGGACUUUAGGAUGCAUCUUCAUGUUUGGGGCUUGUUUAGCAAGAUCAAGUUGGUUGGUACUUCAAGAUCCACUUUUAAAGAAGUACCCAGCAAAGCUCACACUCACUACCUACACUUGCUUAUUCGGAUCACUCCAAUUG